CCUACGGGAGGCAGCAGUGAGGAAUAUUGGUCAAUGGGCGCGAGCCUGAACCAGCCAAGUAGCGUGAAGGAUGACUGCCCUACGGGUUGUAAACUUCUUUUAUAAAGGAAUAAAGUGAGGCACGUGUCCCCUGUUGUAUGUACUUUAUGAAUAAGGAUCGGCUAACUCCGUGCCAGCAGCCGCGGUAAUACGGAGGAUCCGAGCGUUAUCCGGAUUUAUUGGGUUUAAAGGGAGCGUAGAUGGGUUGUUAAGUCAGUUGUGAAAGUUUGCGGCUCAACCGUAAGAGUGCAAUUGAUACUGGCAGUCUUGAGUACAGUGGAGGUAGGCGGAAUGCGUGGUGUAGCGGUGAAAUGCUUAGAUAUCACGAAGAACUCCGAUUGCGAAGGCAGCGUACUAAACUGCCACUGACGUUGAUGCUCGAAAGUGUGGGUAUCAAACAGGAUUAGAUACCCUUGUAGUC
rnacentral:rRNA from 1 species